ACAGCUUAAGGACUUCCCCGCCCCCCUCGGGCGGUGUGCGUUUCUUCCCUGCGCGCGCCGGGGCGCUGCACGACCCAGGUGCCGGUGCUGAUGAGAGAGGUUCAGUAAGCAUUUAGUGAGCAGUUCUUCGGUGCCAACCUGUAUGAUAAAACUCAGUGUGUUUCCUUAAUUGCCUGGAACUCAUAAUGUUCUACACCUCCACCGCCCAGUGCUGGAAUUAAAGUCGUGUGGCAUCCUGCCAGACUACGGUUAAGUAAAUUUUUCCCCUGAGACUGGAUCUCACUGUAAACCUGGCUGUCGUGGAUCUCAGAGAGCUCCACCUGCCUCUGCCUCCUGAAUGAUGAUGUGACCUUGCAUCUGCCACAGCAUAGCAUAAAUGUAGAGAAACGUGCUGGUAUCCGCUUUCCACUGUUUGAUGAUCUGGCGAUCCAAGUCAGGUCCUUAGGCUUGGCUUGCUCCCAAGCACCCUCACCUGCUGUGCCAUUUCCUAGACCCAGAGUUUAGAUUUUUAUUAUAAAAACUUCAAGGGCCUGCGUGGUAGGGCACCUACUUGGCAAGCCCAAAGCCUUUGGUCCCAUACACAAACCUGAUCAUUACUCCAGCAGAAUAAUCAAGCCUAUCAUCAUCCACGUUUUUGCAGUUGUUCUGAACAAGCUAGUAUUAUGUACGUAACCAGGGGUGGCCUGAUUGGCAGGUGAAGGGACUCUGACAAGCUUGAGUGUGGGGCAUGAGCCUAGGUGGCUCUGGCAGGCCUUGCCCUUCUCCCCCAUUCCCUCGGCCUUGCUGAAAGCCAUUAGGUUGCAUUCCUAGAGCUAGUUGGCAAUGUCUAUUCCCUUAUUUGGCCACUUCCUCCUCAGGCUGACUACCAAGGUCCAGCUCUCAAAGUCCUGAAGUUCAGCAAUCAAAGGCCCCCUUUUGGCUCAGCUAAUGAACCUGCCUAAUUAAAAUUAAACACCUCAUCCUAACAUGGAGUUUCCCUUUUUACCUUUAUAUAUACGUUUUUGUUUUUUCAAGACAGAGUUUCUCUGUGUAGCCCUGGCUGUCCUGGAACUCGCUCUGUAGACCAGGCUGUCCUCGAACUCACAGAGGUCCACCUGCCUCUGCCUACCUGGGACUAAAAGCCUGUGCCACCACUGCCUUGCCAUUUUUAUGUAUAUUUGAGCAUGAGCCUUAAGGCUCUUCAGGAGAAGACAAUAUUUAUGUAAAUAAAUCCCACCUCAUUGCAUUGACAGCUCUAUACACUAAGACUAUCCGGUGACUGUCUUUUGCAUUACAUUUAAUUCCUGACAAUCUAGCAACCUACCAUUUAAAACCUACAACCAGCAAUAACAGUAGGUACUUUGCAGUCACUACGAUAGUGGAUAUCUACUUCUGAUCUCAUGUAACUCUGAGACUAAUGAAUUGCCCAUU